rnacentral:rRNA from 1 species
AUUGAACGCUGGCGGCAUGCCUUACACAUGCAAGUCGAACGGUAACGCGGGGCAACCUGGCGACGAGUGGCGAACGGGUGAGUAAUGCAUCGGAACGUGCCUGGUAGUGGGGGAUAACUGCUCGAAAGAGCAGCUAAUACCGCAUACGACCUGAGGGUGAAAGGGGGGGAUCGCAAGACCUCUCGCUAUCAGAGCGGCCGAUGUCGGAUUAGCUAGUUGGUGGGGUAAAGGCCCACCAAGGCAACGAUCCGUAGCUGGUCUGAGAGGACGACCAGCCACACUGGGACUGAGACACGGCCCAGACUCCUACGGGAGGCAGCAGUGGGGAAUUUUGGACAAUGGACGCAAGUCUGAUCCAGCCAUGCCGCGUGCGGGAAGAAGGCCUUCGGGUUGUAAACCGCUUUUGUCAGGGAAGAAAUCUUCUGGGUUAAUACCUCGGGAGGAUGACGGUACCUGAAGAAUAAGCACCGGCUAACUACGUGCCAGCCGCCGCCGUAAUAC